rnacentral:rRNA from 1 species
UACGAAGGGGGCUAGCGUUGUUCGGAAUUACUGGGCGUAAAGCGCGUGUAGGCGGGUCUUUUAGUCAGGGGUGAAAUGCCAAGGCUCAACCUUGGAACUGCCUUUGAUACUGGAGACCUUGAGUCCGGGAGAGGUGAGUGGAAUUGCGAGUGUAGAGGUGAAAUUCGUAGAUAUUCGCAAGAACACCAGUGGCGAAGGCGGCUCACUGGCCCGGAACUGACGCUGAGACGCGAAAGCGUGGGGAGCAAACAGG